AGAAGUGUUUGGGCCGGUUUUGGGGUGUUUUUUUCGGGCUCGAUGAAAACACCCGAAAACACCUCAAAACACUUCUGGCCUGUUCGGUAGGCCGGUUUUGGCCUGUUUAGGCCCGACGAAACCCGCCGAAACUCGUCGGGCCGGGGUGGAUCCAAAACGCGCCCCUCCCCUCGCGUUUCUGUCGGGCGGCUGGCGAUGAGAGGGCGACGCCUGCGACGAGGGAGGAAGACCACGCCGCCGCCGCUCCAAGACCACGCCGCCGCCGACGCUGGAAGACGACGCCGCACCGGCUUCCCCUCUCAGGAUGCCUUCAAUUGGCGUCUGAAUUCUGAAGCUAGCAUCUGCACCCGGCUGGACUCUAGCGCCGCGCGCAGCUCGUUCGGUGAACCAACCAGCUGGGGAAGACAGGGACACGCAGCUUACUCUUUACGUAUCUUAUCUCGCUAAAUACCUCGCUAAAUACCUGUGGCUAAUGUGGUUCUUGUGCUAGGGAUCUUUGUCUACAGAUAUAUGUGUUUCCUGGCAGGAAACAAGUUGCUUGGACUGAUUUGGCAGGAAACAAGUUGCUUGGACUGAUUUUCUUGUAAUAUUGAAGAGAACAAGCAUGUUUUUAAGAGGACUCUCCCGGGCUGAGUUGGUGCCUUAUUCAACAUCUUGUAGUUUCAGUACUUUGCUCAGAACCAUGUGCCUAUCCACUUCGAAUUUCUCUAUUUGUUUCAUGUCUCCCAAAAAUGGACUAUGAAAUUUGAGGCUAUGAGCUAACUGUUGCUGUAAUGCAUAUUUAUGUAAACGGUUGAACAGAUGCUACCACUUCGAAUUUCUCUAUUUGUUUCA